GUAGGUGUCCAGGUGGGUCUUGAACAUCUCCAGAGAAGGAGACUCCACAACCUCCCUGGGCAGCCUGUUCCAGUGCUCCGUCACCCUCACUGUGAAGAAGUUCCUUCGUGUAUUGGAGCAGAACUUCUUAUGCUCAAGUUCAUGGCCGUUCCCUCCUUGUCCUGUCCCCACAGACCGCUGAAGAGUUGGCGGGUCAUGCGGUGUAGCUUGUAUGACCGACAAUUUGGGUGCAUCCCAUGCCUGUGCGUAGGGAGCUGGGUACCAGACUUCCACGUCAUUUGGAGAAAGGUCGCCUGUUUCCCUUGUUAGCAUACUUGCUUGUCGAUCGUUUAUAAAGGCUGGGAAUUUGCUCAGCUGUCCUUGUCCUUUGAAGAAGAUGCAAUAUUCACUGCUGUUCACCAAGCCAUGGAAGGCAGAUACUGGUCUGCGUAGUCCUGUAUUCAAGAAUAAAAUUGUCACAGUGUUCAAAGUUUAAAUUAAGCCUUCAGAUAAUAACGCUUUUUUUUUCUGGGGAGUUUUGCAUCAAGUGAGCAUCAAUAGAUUGGGCUAGUCCUUGCUUAAAUGAAUAGGGCUUAAAUAGCUACUGAAAUUAGGCUGGCAGGUUGUUCCCCCUCCCUUCUCUUUCCCAGCUCAUACUAUGCUCCUGGUGGAAGGGAGGAUGGCUAAAAGUCAGAGGUAGAGGAAUGAGAUAUUUGUGGAACUCAUACCUCUGCUCCCAUCUGCAGUGACUGACAAGCAGUCUGUCACUGACCAGCUAAAUAUCUGGAGGUAUUAUGGGCUGAACUGUGCCAGCUGGAGAACUGACAUUUCUGUUUGUACCUGCUGAAGUUCCACACAUGUAUCCUGAAAUUACUUCAUAUUAUAUGUGGGGGCUGUUUGCAAGAGGAACCUUGUAAUCUCAAAGCAGUUAUCUCCCUGCAAGCCCUUAUUUGGGCUGAUAGCCGCUUUUCCUCAAAAGAAGGGGAAAAAAUGAUCGGCCUAGUACUUUUUAAAUGCAGACUGAAAGGAAGAAGUAAUUUCUGCAGAGCUGCAGUAUUUUGUGUCUUCCUAUUCUCUUUCACAUUCUGCUUGACAUACCAAAUAGUCUGGAGACUAUUUGGUGCUUUGCAUCCACCCUCCCAGGCGUAGGGGAAUGGUGAACUGCACAGGUAUCAGCAGAAUACUGUGACCAGUCAUGGAAGAAAGUAGCAGAUAGCUUCUGGUUACUCACUGGUGUAUUAGAUUUUUACUAGCAGAACAAUUUUCAGGUUUUGGGCCUGCAUGGCAUAUGGAAAUAAUUGCUUUUAAUAUGCUCUGGGGUAUCGCAAUCUGACAGAAAGACAGCACUGCUUCCCUCUCCUGCCACCCAGGGCAUGGGAUAUGCUGAUGUACAGAUCUGGGUUGGUUUCUGAGUUUCAUUUUGAUGUUUUUUCUUAUUUCCACAGAAGCAGCUGAGGAGUAAAUGCAAAUUUCCAGGGAAGGUAUUAAUAUAUUCUGCAAUGACAUUUGUCAAAAAUGAAUUCAGAGCGCUGUUACUUUAUAAUCUGGUGGGUUUAGCUGGGUGUGUCCAGACCAGUGAGGAUCUUUUCUGCCACUGGAAACAGUAUUGUUUUACGCCCUUUGAUCAGUGUGCUUUCCAACUGCUUAACCUCGGUGCCUAAUCCCAGGAACAACACCUAUGCAGCAGAAACCAUCCCCAGCUCUUGUGUUUCCUGGAACCACUCUGAGGCUGCAGCAUCCUCUGAAGCUUGGAAAAUCUUUUUUGGCUUUGGUCUAAUCCUCUCCAAAUCUCUAGAUCUGCCCCCUCUGUGGAAAUAGUGGGAUGUUAACGUUUUAAAUUUAAGUAUAUGUAUAUAAUUUGAGAAAAUGAUUGAUUAGAUAUGCCAGCCUCAGAAGUCGACCUCAGAUAUGCCAACCUCAGAAGUACUGGUUGCAGUAUACCUCUCUGCGCUGCACUCUUUUUGACUUCUGGUUUCUGUUAUUGUGGCAGAGUGAAAUUUGACUGUCUCACUAUUAUCCCAUGCUUAUGGGAAAUGGGAACCCACAGAUAUCCAGGUAUAGAAGUGUGGUAUUAAGUGAAUGAUUUGUUUGCUUUGCACAGUUGUCUAGAAGGUAAAAUGCACUAUGUUGCUGCAGUGGAGUCCUCAUGGUAUUUUUCUUUAAAAUUAGCAAACUUUAUUUUAUUUUGCCAGCUUGCUUGAGUGAAAACUGUGUCUUCUUCUUGGCUUUAGUCUGUAUUUGCAGAUCAUUUUGUGAACAAAAGCUGAGGGUUUUGCCAUCCUUUUAAAUGACAUUGUGAAUCCCAGAAUCAAAGCAGGAAAAUGUCUCCCAGCCUAUAUAGGCAGAGAUGAACAGAUGCUGGAUUCAGCAGUUGUUUUAUGUCUUGCAGCCUAAAAGUCACAGCACAGACAUUGGCGAGAGGCCCUUCUUCAAUCAAAACACUUAAGUAAUCUUAUCAGUUGAGCAAAGUUGCUCCUCCUGUCCCGAAGAGAACAUGGUGCAGAAGCAGGCACUUUCUUGCAGCAGUGAAUGAAUGAGAUUUGCUCUAGCCAGUAUUUUCCUUCCAUAAGAUCAGCAGAAUACUGUUUGCUGCACUGUGUUUUUGAAAUCUUCAGUUGUUAUGAAUCAGAGCUAAAAGAAGCACCAAUACAUUUUCUCUUCGUAAGAAGAAAGAAAGGCUGAUUUAAAGAAAAUCAACGGAAAAGAGUGCAGGAAGCUGCCGAUGUGGAACAUUUUAACCCCUUACCAAUACAGCCUUUUAAUCAAAGGUUGUUUUUUUUUCUGUAAGAUGUCACUUUGAAAGGUUCUUGCUCAUUAACUGCUGAUGAAAAUGUUUUGUUGCUAAAUUUGGAGGAACUGUGGCUGAUGUAAAUUUUCUGUGUGAAAACCUGUAGAAAUUGGCUUCAAAUAGCAAAGGUGAAGGUGACAGAGAUGUUCCAAAGGAAUGCUUCAGCUCUCAGGAAUACAAACAGAGUCAUGAGCAUUUCUUGCAGAUUUGCAUAGAGAUAUGUUGAUUCAAAACAGAAGGAUUUUGAUGAGCAGAGAUUAGCUUUAGCCAUAGCUGAGUAAAGAGGAAAAAAGGUAGGUCAAAUUCAAAACAACGGAAACUCAACAGCUUAAUUACACGCUACAGAUGGUCCUACUUCUUCUGUCAGCUAAAAUGGAAAAGUCCUUUGUUAAAUGUUAUUAGUACACAUGAAACUAUGCUCUUUAAGGCAAUGCCAACUGCUUCUGAAAUCAUGACAGAGAAUCAAGUUAUGCUAUGCUUUCUUUUCUGGAAUUCAUGCGUUUUAGGUUGCGAGUGAAACUUAAUUGUGUCAAGUGGGAAUGUUUGGAUUUGAGAAAUGAGUUGGUACACGCUCAUAUGAACUUUUGUUGCUGUUCUGCCCUUUCAGUCAAGAAAUUCUGAUGUCUUUGGACUAAGUAAGUUAGUGAAAGUAAUGCAACAGCUUAGAUAAUGUAACUUUUGUGAUGACAAAAGAAUGGCUCAACAUCAAUUACAUAUGAUCAGUAAUAAGAGUGAACUAAAAUUACAGCCUGACACUGCUUAGGAGGGGACAUGGACGAUGUGUGUAAUGUAUUUCCCUCAUUCCAAAACUUGUCUGACUACCAACCUGACUACAGGAAAAUCCUUGUAAUUUGGCUUUCGUUGGCUGAAUCUCCAGUGGAAUCUAGGGCAUAAAUGCAUUGCCUUGUACAUAUCUCAGCCCAGAUCUAACAUGGGAGCAAGAAAAUAUGGGAAGGCUUGCACUGCUGUCUCUUCUCCUCUUCUUGAACAAUAACAGGAAUAGCACAGGUUUGGUCACAUUGCAAAGCAGACAGUUAAUAUUGCCUUUGUUUUAGCUCUACUGAAUGGAAAGAGAGGCCCAAUUUUUUUUUUACCUGUCCAGCACAGGUAUCCUCUGACAGACUGCAGAGCUGCUCUCAGGCUACCUCUGAGGAGGCACUGGGGAAAUGCCCUGGUUCAAUGUCUUAGGCUUUCCCAUUGCACCUAGGCCCUGGCCAGGACAAAUGCAGUGAUCACUACUCUGCGGACUCUCCCUUUGCCUCACAUGUGACACAGACUUGUCCCUUUCCUUCAGUUUGGCCACCAAGAAAAAACAUCUGAUGCAGCUCAUGAGCUUUGCGUUAUGGUGGGUCUGGGUCAGAAUUUGUUUCUUCUAUUAAGUUAGGGCUAUAAAUAAGAAGUUCUAGGGCCCUUGGUUUUAAAUUUGGAAAGACAGGGUAGGGUAGCCAGGUUGUAUGCUUUAAGCUUUUGGUUCCAGCACCUGUGAGCUAAGGAAGCAUAUGUGGUGAUAAGUUUUGCCAAAAAAUUAUCAAUAACAACCUGAGGUCAGGCUCAAGUAUGUCACUAUCCACUUUUGUGCCCUUCUGCCCCACAUACUAGAAACCGAAGAAUCACUCUAAUCUGAAGAGCCAAAUGUUUGAUUUUAUGCCAGUGAGCACCCGUUAACAGGGCUUUCCUGAGGUCUUUGACCUGCAAACAUAGAUAAGCUGCUCUUGUGGGUAAGGAGACUGGAAACUGUUGGGCUGCAAUCCAGCAGGUUACAUCCCAAGCUCUUUACCUUUUUAAUAGGUGCUUGAACUAUUUGGCAGGAGGCCAAUGAGGUCUGCCGGGUCUGCAGUGGGGCAAGGAGUUACAUUAAAAGACCUAGUUUCUAAUUAAUCCAGAGCCUUGUAGCUCUUUAAGUGGCUUGCUCAGAGCUGCAGAGGUUUAUGGUCCCCACCGAGUGCAGAAAGAGGUAGAUGAGGCCUCCAAUUCUUCUGAACACUGAAGACAACAUUACCAUUUUGAAACUGUCCAUUGAAAACUGCUAGAAAAUUAUCUGUGAGGUUGUAUCUGAGGGUCAGAGGCAGGAACAAAGAUUAAUUGGCUGAUGUUUCUCUCAUGGGCAGGAGUUCAACACUGUUAUAUACUUUCUUCGGUUAAAAUAGGUCUUUGCCUCUAAGUGUUGCUUAGCAGCUUGUUUUUAGAGGACACAAGAAUGAAGGAAGAAAUAAUAAUCAAAAUUUAGCCUAAUGUUUUUAAUUCUUUCUGCACAUGCUGACGGUAAUUACUGGAUGUUGGGAAAUUCCUUUGCUGUGCCACAGUGGAAUUUUGGCAUAGCUUUGGCAGAGGUUGCAGGAGGUGGCUUUGGAUUGCUCAGCCAUGUUGUUGCUUUUGAUAUGCUCUUGCUUCAUGGCAAGUAUCUUUUAAAGGCAAUCUGUACCUUCUGAUGCUGAAGGACAUCACAUGUGAGAAUAUGAUGACCCUGUAGCUCUAAUAUUUGACAGAGCUCUUUCGUGUAGAAUUACUGCAAUGAAUGCCUCUUUUUAGCAAUGGGGAGGGGCUUUGCUUGGAAAAGGCCUGACUAGCACGAUGUUUGUAUGGUCAACUGACCAAUGAAUGCAAAGCAGUGCAGUGCUUGCAGUACAGAUUCCUCUGCUGCUGGUUACCAUUGAAAUGAUGAUCAUCUGCAGUUAAGUGGCAGUUCGGUGGAGAGCUUGUUAAAAUGUUUUGUCUAAACAAUUUGCCCUCACAGGGAUUUUCAGGUCCUUCAGAUUAUAUUUACUCGAAGAGAAUAAUUAAAGAAAAAACAGCAGGCAGAUAACAGCUUCACAUAGGAAGGCCAUUUUGUUCAUUUAUAUCAUCUUUGUAAACUGAGUAUGCUUCUUAAUAUGCUAUAAAUUGAGUUGAGAUGAAAGAUCUAAGAAAUGGGACUCAGGUUGCCUGAGUCCUAUGCAGCGUACAUUUAAUACGUUUUCACUUAAUCAACUGUUAAUAUGUAUGACAAAAGUAAAUAUAGCAAUUGAACAACACAGUGCUAAAUGCUGUUCUGAAAGAAAACCACACUGGGUGAACUAAAACAACUGCAUUUCUUACUAAUCUACACAAUGCAUUUCGUUUAAAAGGAGAAUUUAUAGUAUUUGAAAUAUCCUACCACAUACUGAAACUUUUAGUGUAAACUGCCACUUUCUGGCUAUCACAUAUUGAAAUACUUGUGGUGCAUAGUGAAAUUUAUGUUACAUAGUGUAAAAUAUAUAGUGAAACCGAACUGAUGUAUAAUGAGACACACAUGUGCCUGCAAUGACUUAUCAGUUCCAUUAUUUUCUAACUAACAUUGUUUUCAUGAUCAAGUUUUUCUGGGUCAGAGGAAGACAAUGGUGAAAACCAGGAGUGGUAUUACAGUGGGGAGCGUAGGCCCAAACUUGCACAAAACCCCCACCAAACUGAGUUAUCCUUUUGUCAUUUUUGGAGAUAAAUCCUAAAUGCAAAGUCUGCUAAUGGUUACAGUAUGUCUCUGUUUCUCUGCCAAAACUUCAUUAUGAACAUCAACAUUGCCCAGCCAGGGAAAUACCACCAGCCACAAGUGGAGAAGCCGAGUGCUAGAUUCUCAGCCAUUUUCACCAGGAUGGGUCUGCCAUGUGAAAGACCUCAGUGAGGUGUGCUGGGCCCUGCAGGCGCACCUGAGCACAGGUCAGAUCAUCUGGGACAUGGUGACCCGUUCUGGUGCUUCUUGUGAGAAGGAGGCAGCUGGGCACAUCAGACCGGUCCUCCCUCAUCCUCCUGUUUGGGAUGUCCUUUGCAGGGAGAUGGUGGCUGCAACCUGCAGUACUUCUUCCCCUGCUGCUUAGGUUUGUAUUUUUUUUUUGGUUAAAGCCUGACUGUGCAGCCAAGCAUCCCUGCCGGGCAGGGCAGGCUGGCUGCCCUGGGCGUGCCCUGCUGCCAGCAGAGCAGGGCUGUGACAGCCGGUCCUGUGGCUUCUGGCCUCCCUGCAACCUGGGGCUCCUCUGCGGGGAUGUCAUCUGCAACUCGCCCUGACUCCCUAACCUCAGCCACAGUGUGGGCCGAGGGUGUCACAUCCAGUUCUAGCUGUGCAGCUUCCUUCCUGUGCUGGUGGACUGCGAUCUUGCAGGCCCCACUUGGCACAAGGCUGUGAGACUCCUCCAGCCCUGCCCACUCCUGCCCAGAGCUUUCCACCAGACCGCUCAACAAAAAGAGGGGAAAAUGAACAACAAAUCUCACAUUUCCUUGACCUGCACAAAUCCUUAACUCCAGAAAGGAGGUUUCUUUUAUGGAUUAUAUUUUGACUGGUUUUGCACCAGUGCCAGUGUGAUGAAAGGCUUUAGCAUUCAGAAAAUGGUAAUAGUAAUGAAAUUCCCUCUUUGUGAUCUCCUUAACUGCCUUGAUAACAUGCAAGUCAAGGUGCGUCUGUCCCCUCCUAUUCAGAGGCGUAUUGGCCUUUUGCUAAACCAAAACAAUGUAGGCCAUCUUGUAAUUGAAAGAAGACCUUCCUACCUCAUGGCUGUUGUGCAAUCAGUGCUCAUCAAGGAUGGCUGAAGGCACAAGACAAAACACACCCUGCGUUUGAGGGUAAUGUAUAUUAACCUUUCCACUUGGAAUGCCUAAUUGCUCAAAUAUUGCCAACAUUGUUCAAACUGCCAGAUAUGUCAGGGAACAGGCAGAACUGGAGGGACAACUCUAUAUAAGGGGUAUGACAAAUUUAUUGGGUAAACUGUAUGGGAGUGCUUAACCCUUCUUUCUGUUCUGUUUUUUGUAAGGACAACUGCCAAGCAGAUUUGAUCAUGACUAAUUCAUGUGAGGAAAUAGCACAGAGAGGUUAAGCAGCAACAACCAGUUUAAUUUCACUUGUUACCAACAAGGCCUAACUUCAGUUUCAAAAGAAGAUGAAAGGUCUUUAUAAACUGUCCAGAAUGGUGGACCCUCCUCAAAGCUGCAUUUGAUACAGUCUCGGCUCCUGUGGUGAGGCAGCUCAGCUGGCAAUGCCACGUCGCGCUUGGUCCCCUGUUUCAGUGGUGAUGGCAGUGAGGUAUUGGCUACAAGAGCGUGCCAUAAUGAAACACGACCAGGGUGUUUGGCACUGGCAUUGUUGUUUGCCACUUUCAAUCACGGAAACUCGGAGCCCACAAAAGCAGGAGUCAGCAUUGUUGGAGACAUCAUCGCCG